CGUAGGGUGCGAGCGUUAAUCGGAAUUACUGGGCGUAAAGCGUGCGCAGGCGGUUUUGUAAGACAGAUGUGAAAUCCCCGGGCUCAACCUGGGACCCGCAUUUGUGACUGCAAGGCUAGAGUACGGUAGAGGGGGAUGGAAUUCCGCGUGUAGCAGUGAAAUGCGUAGAUAUGCGGAGGAACACCGAUGGCGAAGGCAAUCCCCUGGACCUGUACUGACGCUCAUGCACGAAAGCGUGGGGAGCAAACAGGAUUAGAUACCCUGGUAGUCCACGCCCUAAACGAUGUCAACUGGUUGUUGGGUCUUUACUGACUCAGUAACGAAGCUAACGCGUGAAGUUGACCGCCUGGGGAGUACGGCCGCAAGGUUG
rnacentral:rRNA from 1 species